GCCAUCAGCUUCACAGUGAAAAUACUUUUCUUUUGCUGCAGCCUUCUUCAAAAUAUCCUGCUUUGGCUUGUUCUCCUUCUUCUGCUUCUUUGUGGCUUUAUUCUUCUUCUUCCAACUAGACGUUCUUUUAGAUGAAGAAGACUGCUCCACAGUAAGAACAGUAUCCCUUGAACUUUUUAAGGUUUUCUCAGCAGUGACCAACAUAUUGACCAGUUUGGAUAUAGUGCAAUCCAAUUUGUUCAUAU
rnacentral:lncRNA from 1 species